AUUGAACGCUGGCGGCAUGCCUUACACAUGCAAGUCGAACGGUAACGGGCCUUCGGGUGCCGACGAGUGGCGAACGGGUGAGUAAUGCAUCGGAACAUACCUUUCAGUGGGGGAUAACGUAGCGAAAGUUACGCUAAUACCGCAUAUUCUGUGAGCAGGAAAGCAGGGGAUCGCAAGACCUUGCGCUGAUUGAGCGGCCGAUGUCAGAUUAGCUAGUUGGUGAGGUAAAGGCUCACCAAGGCGACGAUCUGUAGCGGGUCUGAGAGGAUGAUCGGCCACACUGAAACUGAGACACGGUCCAGACUCCUACGGGAGGCAGAAGUGGGGAAUUUUGGACAAUGGGGGCAACCCUGAUCCAGCCAUGCCGCGUGAGUGAAGAAGGCCUUCGGGUUGUAAAGCUCUUUCGGCCGGGAAGAAAUCGUAUGGGCUAAUACCCUGUGCGGAUGACGGUACCGGCAUAAGAAGCACCGGCUAACUACGUGCCAGCAGCCGCAGUAACAC
rnacentral:rRNA from 1 species